ACACAACUCUGGAGAGCUCCAGUUGGACGCCGAAGGUGCAAAACCUCAAGGUUAAAAUCUCUCAGGCAAAAGGACAGAGUA
rnacentral:ncRNA from 1 species